rnacentral:rRNA from 1 species
AUUGAACGCUGGCGGCAUGCCUUACACAUGCAAGUCGAACGGUAACAGGCCGCAAGGUGCUGACGAGUGGCGAACGGGCGAGUAAUGCAUCGGAACGUGCCCAGUCGUGGGGGAUAACGCAGCGAAAGCUGCGCUAAUACCGCAUACGAUCUAUGGAUGAAAGCGGGGGACCGUAAGGCCUCGCGCGAUUGGAGCGGCCGAUGUCAGAGUAGGUAGUUGGUGGGGUAAAGGCUCACCAAGCAAACGAUCUGUAGCUGGUCUGAGAGGACGACCAGCCACACUGGGACUGAGACACCGCCCAGACUCCUACGGGAGGCAGCAGUGGGGAAUUUUGGACAAUGGGCGCAAGCCUGAUCCAGCAAUGCCGCGUGCAGGAAGAAGGCCUUCGGGUUGUAAACUGCUUUUGUACGGAACGAAACGGUCUGGGUUAAUACCUCGGGCUAAUGACGGUACCGUAAGAAUAAGCACCGGCUAACUACGUGCCAGCCGCCGCCGUAACAC